UCCUAUCUGGUUGAUCCUGCCAGUAGUCAUAUGCUUGUCUCAAAGAUUAAGCCAUGCAUGUCUAAGUUCACCCCCUCGGACGGGUAAACCGCGAAUGGCUCAUUAAAUCAGUCGAGGUUCCUUAGAUGACACGACCCCCACUCGGAUAACUGUGGCAAUUCCAGAGCUAAUACGUGCCUCGCAAGCCCCGACCUCCGCGAGGGGAAGGGGCGCUUUUAUUAGUUCAAAACCGGCGGCGUCUCCCGUUCGCGCGGGGGGCGCCCUCCCCUUGGUGACUCUGGAUAACUUUGUGCUGAUCGCACGGCCCUCGUGCCGGCGACGCAUCUUUCAAAUGUCUGCCCUAUCAAAUGUCGACGGUACGUGACAUGCCUACCGUGUUGGCGACGGGUAACGGGGAAUCAGGGUUCGAUUCCGGAGAGGGAGCACGAGAAACGGCUACCACAUCCAAGGAAGGCAGCAGGCGCGCAACUUACCCACUCCCGGCACGGGAGGUAGUGACGAAAAAUAACAAUACGGGACUCUUCAUGAGGCCCCGUAAUUGGAAUGAGCGCAGUCUAAACCCUUGGGCGAGGACCCAUUGGAGGGCAAGUCUGGUGCCAGCAGCCGCGGUAAUUCCAGCUCCAAUAGCGUAUAUUAAAGUUGUUGCAGUUAAAAAGCUCGUAGUUGGAUCUCGGGCGCAGGCGGGCGGUCGGCUCGCGCCGGUUCGCCGCCCGUUCCCCUGCCCCACCCCUGCCGGCUCCCUCCCGGCGGUGCUCUUCGCUGGGCGUCCCGGGCGGCCGGCGCGUUUACUUUGAAAAAAUUAGAGUGUUCAAGGCGGGCCCGCCGAGCCCGAAUAACUGCGCAUGGAAUAAUGGAAUAGGACCUCGGUUCUAUUUUGCUGGUUUUCGGAAUCCGAGGUAAUGAUUGACGGGGACAAACGGGGGCAUUCGUAUUGCGGCGUUAGAGGUGAAAUUCUUGGAUCGCCGCAAGACGGGCUACUGCGAAAGCAUUUGUCAAGAAUGUUUUCAUUAAUCAAGAACGAAAGUCAGAGGCGCGAAGACGAUCAGAUACCGUCGUAGUUCUGACCAUAAACGAUGCCGACCGGCGAUCCGCGGGAGUUGAUUCUAUGACUCCGCGGGCGGCCUCCGGGAAACCUGAGUCUUUGGGUUCCGGGGGAAGUAUGGUUGCAAAGCUGAAACUUAAAGGAAUUGACGGAAGGGCACCACCAGGAGUGGAGCCUGCGCUUAAUUUGACUCAACACGGGAAAACUCACCCGGUCCCGGACACCGCGAGGAUUGACAGAUUUGACAGCUCCUUUUCUUUUGAUUCGGGUGGGGUGGGUGGGUGCAUGGGCCGUUCCUUAGUUUGGUGGGGAGCCGAUUUUCUGGUUUGAUUCCCGAUAACGAACGAGACUCUGGCCUGCUAAAUAGGCCGCCGGUUUCCGCGCGACCCGGCGCUUGGUGCUCGUUGCCGGCGUCCGGGCUCCUCGCGCGCGCCGGCGGGACUUCUUAGAGGGACAAGCGGCGUUUAGCCGCCGAGAUUGAGCAAUAACAGGUCUGUGAUGCCCUUAGAUGUCCGGGGCCGCACGCGCGCUACACUGAAGGGAUCAGCGUGGCCGCCCCCCUGGCCCGAGAGGGCUGGGAAACCCGUUGAAUCCCCUUCGUGCUAGGGACCGGGGCUUGUAAUUGUUCCCCGCGAACGAGGAAUUCCCAGUAAGCGCGGGUCAUAAGCCCGCGUUGAUUACGUCCCUGCCCUUUGUACACACCGCCCGUCGCUACUAUCGAUUGAGCGGUUGAGUGAGGGCACCGAUCCGGUCGCGGCCUGGGGUUUCGCGCCCCCGGCGCCCCGCGUGCCCGAGAAGACGCUCGAACUCGAUCGCUUGGAGAAAGUAAAAAGUCGUAACAAGGUUUCCGUAGUGAACCUGCGGAAGGAUCAUUA
rnacentral:rRNA from 1 species